GAUGAACGCUAGCGGCAGGCCUAACACAUGCAAGUCGAGGGGUAUAGUUCUUCGGAACUAGAGACCGGCGCACGGGUGCGUAACGCGUAUGCAAUCUACCUUUUACAGGGGGAUAGCCCAGAGAAAUUUGGAUUAAUACCCCAUAGUAUGUUAGAGUGGCAUCAUUUUAACAUUAAAGUUCCAACGGUAAAAGAUGAGGAUGCGUCCCAUUAGCUAGAUGGUAAGGUAACGGCUUACCAUGGCGACGAUGGGUAGGGGUCCUGAGGAGGAGAGCCCCCAAACUGGGACGGAGAACCGGACCAGACUUCUACCGGAAGCAGCAGUGAGGAAUAUUUGAACAUUGGCCGAAAGCUUGUCCAGCCAUGGCGCGGUGAGGAAAACGGUCCUAUGGGUUUUAAACUGCUUUUUUUCAAGAAGAAACAACCCCUCGUGAGGGAGCUUGACGGUACUGUAAGAAUAAGGAUCGGCUAACUCCGUGCCAGCCGCCGCCGUAAUAC
rnacentral:rRNA from 1 species